AUGGGCGCGUAGCUCAAUUAGGCAGAGCACCGGUCUCCAAAACCGAAGGUUGCAGGUUCGAUUCCUGUCUCCCCUGCCA
rnacentral:tRNA from 1 species